AUUGAACGCUGGCGGCAGGCCUAACACAUGCAAGUCGAACGAGUGGCGGACGGGUGAGUAAUGUAUGGGAAUCUGCCUGAUGGAGGGGGAUAACUACUGGAAACGGUGGCUAAUACCGCAUACUAUCAGAUGUGCCCAUAUGGGAUUAGCUUGUUGGUGGGGUAAAGGCUCACCAAGGCGACGAUCCCUAGCUGGUCUGAGAGGAUGACCAGCCACACUGGGACUGAGACACGGUCCAGACUCCUACGGGAGGCAGCAGUGGGGAAUAUUGCACAAUGGGCGCAAGCCUGAUGCAGCCAUGCCGCGUGUAUGAAGAAGGCCUUCGGGUUGUAAAGUACUUUCAGCGGGGAGGCGUUACCCGCAGAAGAAGCACCGGCUAACUCCGUGCCAGCAGCCGCGGUAAUUC
rnacentral:rRNA from 1 species